AAUCAACGCUGGCGGCGUGCCUAAUACAUGCAAGUCGAACGCGAAAGUGGAGCAAUCCAUGAGUAGAGUGGCAAACGGGUGAGUAACGCGUGGGUGACCUGCCUUCGAGUGGGGGAUAACGUUUCGAAAGGAACGCUAAUACCGCAUGACAUCCUGCCUUUUAACAGGUGGAGAUCAAAGCUGGGGAUCGCAAGACCUAGCGCUUGAAGAGGGGCCCGCGUCCGAUUAGCUAGUUGGUGGGGUAACGGCUCACCAAGGCAACGAUCGGUAGCCGGCCUGAGAGGGCGGACGGCCACACUGGGACUGAGACACGGCCCAGACUCCUACGGGAGGCAGCAGUAGGGAAUUGUUCGCAAUGGGCGCAAGGCCUGACGACGCAACGCCGCGUGGAGGAUGAAGACC
rnacentral:rRNA from 1 species